AAAUUCUUCCUCCCAUCCGCGUGCCCUAACUUUCCCCCAAAUUUCCCCCAAUUUCUUCCUCCCCUCCGCGUGAAGUCCCGUCGGCUUUCUCCCAUUUCUGACCGUCUGAAGUCCCGUCGCCACCACCAAUCCCCUCCUGCCCGUCCGUCGAAACCUUCUCCACCAACCCGUCGCCACCACCCCCGUCUUCUCCAAACCUCUUCAAUCAACCCGAAGCAACAAAAUCGUGGGCGUCGGUCGUCACCCCUCCCCUCCGCCGGUAAGCUUCUCUUCUUUAUCUCUUUCUCUCUCUCUCUCUAUGAAGUUCUUCGUUGUCUCCAUUGGAUUGUUUCUUGAUUUCAGUUUAUCCCAAUUUCAUUGGAUUGUUUCGCCGGUAAGAUCUUAUCCCAAUUUCUCAUUUCCAAAAGAGAUGUCAUGGCUAGUGCCGAUUUCUUUGCAAUCUUUCAAAUUAUUUUCUUUGUUUUCAAGAAUUUGUGUAGGUUGGUGAUGAAACAUUUUGGUAGCUUACAAUGUGUUUGAUGAAAUGCCUCAAUGAAGCAUUUGGUUGAUUUUUGAUUGAUGUUUGUUUGUUCGAAUUAGGAAAUCAAGGCCAAAGGAGAUGUCAUGGCUAUGGGCUAAAGCUUUGAGAAAAAAAGAAUGAAA
rnacentral:lncRNA from 1 species